rnacentral:rRNA from 1 species
GUGGGGAAUAUUGGACAAUGGGCGAAAGCCUGAUCCAGCCAUGCCGCGUGUGUGAAGAAGGUCUUCGGAUUGUAAAGCACUUUAAGUUGGGAGGAAGGGCAGUAAGUUAAUACCUUGCUGUUUUGACGUUACCGACAGAAUAAGCACCGGCUAACUUCGUGCCAGCAGCCGCGGUAAUACGAAGGGUGCAAGCGUUAAUCGGAAUACUGGGCGUAAAGCGCGCGUAGGUGGUUUUGUAAGUUGGAGGUGAAAUCCCCGGGCUCAACCUGGGAACUGCCUCCAAAACUGCAUGACUAGAGUACGGUAGAGGGUAGUGGAAUUUCCUGUGUAGCGGUGAAAUGCGUAGAUAUAGGAAGGAACACCAGUGGCGAAGGCGACUACCUGGACUGAUACUGACACUGAGGUGCGAAAGCGUGGGGAGCAAACAGGAUUAGAUACCCCAGUAGUCC